rnacentral:rRNA from 1 species
CUCCCAGACUCCUACGGGAGGCAGCAGUGGGGAAUAUUGGGCAAUGGGCGCAAGCCUGACCCAGCAACGCCGCGUGAAGGAAGAAGGCUUUCGGGUUGUAAACUUCUUUUCUCAGGGACGAAGCAAGUGACGGUACCUGAGGAAUAAGCCACGGCUAACUACGUGCCAGCAGCCGCGGUAAUACGUAGGUGGCAAGCGUUAUCCGGAUUUACUGGGUGUAAAGGGCGUGUAGGCGGGACUGCAAGUCAGAUGUGAAAACCACGGGCUCAACCUGUGGCCUGCAUUUGAAACUGUCCUUCUUGAGUGCUGGAGAGGCAAUCGGAAUUCCGUGUGUAGCGGUGAAAUGCGUAGAUAUACGGAGGAACACCAGUGGCGGAGGCGGAGUGCUGGACAUUAACUGACGCUGAGGCGCGAAAGCGUGGGGAGCAAACAGGAUUAGAUACCCGAGUAAGA